rnacentral:rRNA from 1 species
CCGGGAUUGCCUUAGUAACGGCGAGUGAAGCGGCAAAAGCUCAAAUUUGAAAUCUGGUACCUUCGGUGCCCGAGUUGUAAUUUGGAGAGGGCAACUUUGGGGCCGUUCCUUGUCUAUGUUCCUUGGAACAGGACGUCAUAGAGGGUGAGAAUCCCGUGUGGCGAGGAGUGCGGUUCUUUGUAAAGUGCCUUCGAAGAGUCGAGUUGUUUGGGAAUGCAGCUCUAAGUGGGUGGUAAAUUCCAUCUAAAGCUAAAUAUUGGCGAGAGACCGAUAGCGAACAAGUACAGUGAUGGAAAGAUGAAAAGAACUUUGAAAAGAGAGUGAAAAAGUACGUGAAAUUGUUGAAAGGGAAGGGCAUUUGAUCAGACAUGGUGUUUUGUGCCCUCUGCUCCUUGUGGGUAGGGGAAUCUCGCAUUUCACUGGGCCAGCAUCAGUUUUGGUGGCAGGAUAAAUCCAUAGGAAUGUAGCUUGCCUCGGUAAGUAUUAUAGCCUGUGGGAAUACUGCCAGCUGGGACUGAGGACUGCGACGUAAGUCAAGGAUGCUGGCAUAAUGGUUAUAUGCCGCCCGUCUUGAAACACGGACCUCCUGUGUGAA